UGGGGUGUGGCUCGGUGGCAGAGCGCACGCCUGGCAUGCGGGAGGCCCUGGGGUCCAUCCCCAGCACCGAAA
rnacentral:tRNA from 1 species